rnacentral:rRNA from 1 species
UACGUAGGGCGCAAGCGUUAUCCGGAAUUAUUGGGCGUAAAGAGCUCGUAGGCGGUUUGUCGCGUCUGCCGGUGAAAGUCCGAGGCUCAACUUCGGAUCUGCGGUGGGUACGGGCAGACUAGAGUGAUGUAGGGGAGACUGGAAUUCCUGGUGUAGCGGUGAAAUGCGCAGAUAUCAGGAGGAACACCGAUGGCGAAGGCAGGUCUCUGGGCAUCUACUGACGCUGAGGAGCGAAAGCAUGGGGGAGCGAACAGG